ACGUUUCCCUCGCAGAUCUCGCGAUUCGUAGAGCCAUAGGCGUCGUUGGACCAAAAAAACUCUGUUCACCGUGUUAAGAGUGGGAGGUGAGAUCAUGUAAGAAUAUCAAACGCAUUGACGUCUUACGCAGCAAGGAAGGUAAUUAUUUCGGAUGUACUUUGUCACACGGUUGGCCUCGAAAUUAGAAAUUUCGUACAGUGUGAACUGGUGUAGCUCGAAUUUACGUGCGCGAUAGACAGAGAGAGGUGGGAGAGAGGGAAAGAGAGUCAGAAAGAGAGAGAGAUAGUGUGAGACAGAGAGAUAGGAACAGCGCGUGUGCGUGUAUACAAGAAGAAGAGAGAUAGAGAUUGAAAGAUAAAGAGAUGCAUCGACGGAACAGAUAUUCGCAUGCAAUUCUGCCCCGAUUUGUCACAGGUAUCAAGAAAAGAAUUGAAUAAAGCGUAAUACUACGGAGAAUCAUAUCAGAAUUCCAAAGGGGCCUCGAAUGCGCGACACGUGCGACUUCGAAUUAGAAAAAGUAAACACGCGUUCGGCCAGGUGGCGCGGAAUGUCGUUGCUACAUCGAUGAGCAGUUUUACGCGCACAGCUCAAGUGAUCAAAGGUGAAGGAGGCAAACACGAAACAUCGAAACGACGUCCAACGGAAACAGAAUAUCCCCAGAAAAGUAUGAGAGGGAGCCAGCCGAUCGGUGGAAGCGUGGAGGCAGUGAUCCGGUGAAGCAUCUUCACGGAGGGAGGAACGUAACGAGGAGGAAAGGGAAGGGCGAGGAGAAAAGAGCAACGGAGGAGGGUUCAGUGGCAAUAGCAGGAAGAGAACGCGCGGCAAAGGAAUAAUUCCCCGUGUUUCCAAGGAACGCGUUUCGAAUUACCGGCGGAUCGCGUUGCAUUCUGUUCGUCGCGCUUGGCUAGCACCGAGCAAAUCUAAUUCCUUUCGGACUCUCGGGUGCCGAACUCCUCCUCCUCCUCCUCCUCCUUUUAACCGCUCCCCCCUUUUCCUUCCGCCCGCUCUUUUCGCUUUGUUUUUCCGACCCCGGAUCCCUUCCCUCUUCACGGAUGGCUAUCCGCUUGUCCUUUGUUCCCCUUGAUCAUCCUUUCUCUUAACUUUCCUCCACCAUGGGCGUAACCAUCGCCCAGGAUGAAUGGGUUGAAUGGCUUGUCCUCCUUCCGAGGAUGAUGUCUGGACGACGUAGGAUAUCGUACUUUUUUCGAAUACAAUGGCCGGGG